AAAGUAGGGGAUCGCAAGACCUUCCGCUUUUGGAGUGGCAGAUGCCUGAUUAGCUAGUUGGUGGGGUAACGGCCUACCAAGGCGACGAUCAGUAGUUGGUCUGAGAGGACGACCAGCCACACUGGGACUGAGACACGGCCCAGACUCCUACGGGAGGCAGCAGUGGGGAAUUUUGGACAAUGGGCGAAAGCCUGAUCCAGCUAUGCCGCGUGAGUGAAGAAGGCCUUCGGGUUGUAAAGCUCUUUCAGUCGAUAAGAAAAUGUCGCCAGCAAUAAUCGUUACUCAUGACGCUAUCCACAGAACAAGCACCGGC
rnacentral:rRNA from 1 species